GCGGCCGCUGCCCUGUCCGGCCCCCGCUGGAGCAGCCCGGAGGCAGCGAGCAAGGAGAAAGGUGUGUGCCCUCUUCCUGAUUCUGGAGAAAAAUGCCGGUCCGGAAGCAAGAUACCCAGAGAGCAUUGCACCUUUUGGAAGAAUAUCGUUCAAAACUAAGCCAAACUGAAGACAGACAGCUCAGAAGUUCCAUAGAACGGGUUAUUAACAUAUUUCAGAGCAACCUCUUUCAGGCUUUAAUAGAUAUUCAAGAAUUUUAUGAAGUGACCUUACUGGAUAAUCCAAAAUGUAUAGAUCGUUCAAAGCCGUCUGAACCAAUUCAACCUGUGAAUACUUGGGAGAUUUCCAGCCUUCCAAGCUCUACUGUGACUUCAGAGACACUGCCAAGCAGCCUUAGCCCUAGUGUAGAGGUGAGAUAAAAAAUGUGUUCUGAAGCUGUUUUUUGGUGAUCAAUUUAUUUGUGUUACUAUGUUUCUUUA
rnacentral:sRNA from 1 species